GAUGAACGCUGGCGGCGUGCUUAACACAUGCAAGUCGAACGGAAAGGCUCCUGCUUGCAGGGGUACUCGAGUGGCGAACGGGUGAGUAACACGUGGGUGAUCUGCCCUGCACUUCGGGAUAAGCCUGGGAAACUGGGUCUAAUACCGGAUAGGACGAUGGUUUGGAUGCCAUUGUGGAAAGUUUUUCGGUGUGGGAUGAGCUCGCGGCCUAUCAGCUUGUUGGUGGGGUAAUGGCCUACCAAGGCGUCGACGGGUAGCCGGCCUGAGAGGGUGUACGGCCACAUUGGGACUGAGAUACGGCCCAGACUCCUACGGAAGGCAGCAGUGGGGAAUAUUGCACAAUGGGCGCAAGCCUGAUGCAGCGACGCCGCGUGGGGGAUGACGGCCUUCGGGUUGUAAACUCCUUUCGCUAGGGACGAAGCGCAAGUGACGGUACCUGGAGAAGAAGCACCGGCUAACUACGUG
rnacentral:rRNA from 1 species